ACUAAAUAGUCAUUCAAUAACUUAACCAACUAACUAACUAACACACUAACUAACUUAACGUACAAAUAACAAGGCCAGACACACACCGGGCUCAAGGUUGACGUACAUUUAUUCACCGUACACACACUAUGUACAAAAAAGCUUCUGACGAGGGUGUGAAAACCUUAGGAGCUACGAACCGAGCGGACAUCCUUAGUAACCUUUGGCCAAUGUACACAAAAUAUAGGACUCCUUCUGUACCACGGGUGGGGGGUGGGGGUGACACGGGGGGAGAGGGAGGGGAAAGAAUGACAGGGGGGAAUAUAUAGCACGGGGGGGGGGUUACACAGGGGGGGAGACGGGGGAGGGGAAGGGUUUGGGGGAAGGAGUAGGGAGGGUGGGGAAGGGGGGAGGAGCCUCAAAGAAUGGGGAGGGUCUUGUUGGGGGAAUAAGGGAGGGGAAAUUAGCCUCAAAGGGGAGAAGAAACCUGAGGGGAAGGAAGGGGAAGAAAUCGUAGGGAGGGGAAAUUAGCCUCAAAUGGAUAAGAACUUGAGGGGAAAGAGGUGCACGAAAGGGGAAGGAGAUGGGGAGGAAAAUGAUAGGGAUGGGGAGAAGACAUCACGGGGAAAGAGGGGAAGGGAUGGGGAGGAAAAGGGUAGGGAAGGAGAAUAACUUGAGGGGAAGGGAGGUGGGGAGGAAAAUAAGUAAUGGGGGAUUAGCCUCAAAGGGGAUAAAUAAGCGGAAGGAGAAUGGGGAGGUAGUAAUGGGGAAUUAGCCUCAAAAGGGGAAUAACUUGAGGGGAAGGGAGAUGGGGAGGAAAAUAAGUAUUGGGGGAUUAGCCUCAAAGGGGAAAAAUAAGGGGAAGAAGGGGAAUGGGGAGGUAGUAAUGGGGAAUUAACCUCAAAUGGGGAGAAGACUUGAGGUAAAGGGGAAAGGGGUGGGGAGGAAAACAGAGAUGGGGAUUAGCCUCGAAGGUAAGAUUUGAGGUAAAAGGGGUGUUAGCCUCAAUGGGGAAACCUGAGGGGAGUGGGGAGUAGCCUCGUAUAAGGGGAGGGGGUGAGGAAGGAGAUGGGGAUUAGCCUCAAAGGGGAGCAUAAGGGGAAGGAAAGGGAGUGUAAGUUCUUAAAUGGGGAGAAAUGGGAAGAGGUGAUGUAGGGGGUGGUGGGGUGAAGGGGAGAUGAGGAAUGGGGUGGGAUUAGACUGGGGUGAGUGAUAGAGGUGGAAAAGGGGGAGAUUAUGAGUUGGGGUUGUGGAGGGGUGAGGGGUGAAGAAUGAGGAGGGGUGAGGUGAUGGGGGUGGGGAGGAAGAGGAAGGGGUGAUGUAAGGGUGACUGAAGGGGUGUGGGGUGAAUGGGGGUUGGGGUGACAUACCAUUUAAGGGGUGACGAGACUAAAAACCUUAAAUAUAACAAAUGAGGCGAGACAAUUGCGUUACGACAUACGGAAUAACACACACACACUCUCUCUCUCUCUCUCUCUCUCUCUCUCUCUCUCUCUCUCUCUCUCUUAUUAUUAUACCUUGACCCUGUUUGCUUCCUUUAAAAUAACACUUUCUUGUCAAUUCCUCCUCCUCCUCCUCUUCUUCCUCCUCCUCCUGGUGAAUUGUGCGAUCAAUAAAUAAUAAAAAAAUAUUUAAAUACACACACGAGGUUGCUUAGAAUGUGUGUGUGUGUGUCGGAAGGGAAGGAGAUGGAGGCAUGAGGAAGAAGGGAGAGAUAAAAGGAGGGAAUGACGUAUCUAAUCUCUCUCUCUCUCUCUCUCAAUCAUCCACUCAGCGCACAGUAAACAAUUUUUUCGUUAAUGCGUUUUGUUUUCUGCAACGUUGAAGAGAGAGAGAGAGAGAGAGAGAGAGAGAGAGAGAGAGAGAGAGAGAGAGAGAGAGAUGAAUAAGAACACCGAUAAAACAAGAUAUAAUGGGAGAACAGUAUAUGGGGAAGCAAGCAAGAAAAGCAGGUGAGAAGCAGGAAAAGGGAGGAGGAGGAGGAGGAAGAAUACAUAGGAGGAAAUUACAAUGAGAGCGGUGUCUAUCGAUACAACAGUGGUUCCCAAAUACGGCAAGUCAUACGAGUGGCAUUCACGUAUAAUACUCGUGCGCCGAGCAGACAGCGAGCAGGCGGAGGAUAAAAUCAUAAAUAUAUGAAAGUAUAACCUAAUAUAUAAAAAUAACAAAAUAAAUGCUACAUGUUAACGAUUUAAGGUCGCCAGGCCAAGUCAAGACCGUAUUUAGGGUGGCAGCCAGAACAGUUUGGGAACCACUGAUGUAAUCCAAAGCGUGUCGUGUGGAUCGGUCUGGAAUCGGUAAAAUGAACGUGUCCGAUGUUUCUCCCUUCGCUCCAGGCCGCAAGACAACGAGAAGGAGCCAGUGAAUGAAAUAUGAGGUUAAUGAAUGAAGGAGCGAAGACAUAACUGGGUAAUAGUGUGGAUGAAUGAAUUAGGGGAUAGAUUCUUAGCACCAGGGUAGGAGGAAGUGAUUCAAGGCACAAGAGAGGGACAAGAAGAUAACAAAAGCGAAAGGAUGUAGUAAUUAGAAGAAACAAUAGACGAAGGAACAAAGGAGUGAAUAUAGACAACAGGUAAGCAGAGGAAUACCAGACGAAGGAACAAAGGAGUGAAUAGAGACAACAGGUAAGCAGAGGAAUACCAGACGAAGGAACAAAGGAGUGAAUAGAGACAACAGGUAAGCAGAGGAAUACCAGACGAAGGAACAAAGGAGUGAAUAGAGACAACAGGUAAGCAGAGGAAUACCAGACGAAGGAACAAAGGAGUGAAUAGAGACAACAGGUAAGCAGAGGAAUACCAGACGAAGGAACAAAGGAGUGAAUAGAGACAACAGGUAAGCAGAGGAAUACCAGACGAAGGAACAAAGGAGUGAAUAGAGACAACAGGUAAGCAGAGGAAUACCAGACGAAAGAACGAAAUAAGAGAUGACUAGUAAAGUAAAGAUGGAGGAAAUGAAUAGAUAAAUGAAGAAAAUAAAGGAAUGAAUUAAUAACAUACUCUAGCACCAGGUAAAGGAACAGUAGACGAAGGAACAAAGGAGUGAAUAGAGACAACAGGUAAGCAGAGGAAUACCAGACGAGAGAACGAAAUAAGAGAUGAGUGAUAAAGUAAAGAUGGAGGAAGUGAAUGGAUAAAUGAAGAAAAUAAAGGAAUGAAUUAAUAACAGACUCUAGCACCAGGUAAAGGAACAAUGGACAAGGCAUGAGAUGAUUAUAACGAAGGUAAAUGAAUGGAUAAAUAAAUGAAAAACGAACAGAUAAAUGAAGUAAAUCAAUUCCCUGUUUUCUUUUUCCCCCUCCUUCCUUCCUUCCGUCCUUCCUUCUUUCUAUCUUUCUGCCCUUCCUUACUUCUUUUAAUCCUUCUCCCUUUCUUUCUCUCCUUUCUCCUUUUUCAUUUUUCCUCCUUCCUAUUAAUCACACACACACACACAUACACACACACACACACACAGCGAGGAAGUAAACACUAUCUUAAAACGUCAAACAAACAAACAAACACACACAGCCUCUCAAGACGUCUAUUCGCUUAUCAUAAAAACUGACAACAUGAGAAAGAUCGGGAAAUAUUAUUAUAUACAACACUUUUCUGAAGAACGAGACGAAACAGAACGGCAAUGAAGAACGCUGUACACACACACACACACACACACACACACACACACACACACGCUGGCUGGGUGGCGUUCGUGAGUCCAGCGCGUGAUCAGACCUUGUACACACACACACACACACACACACACAGCACCAUAACCUAUGAUAAUAAUAACAAUAAUAGUAACAGAGAGAGUUGGCCAGUUUGUACGCACCAUAUAGUACUGAACAAAAAAGAAAACUUACGCUACAGUGGAGAAUGGAGCUGAGGACUGCGUAUAUGAAACAUUUCUUCCUUUCAUAAGACUUACUGAGUGAAGCUUGUGCUAAUGUAAGCAGUGUACAAUUAUAAUUUGGUUGGAUUUUUCUGCCUUAAGCCUCCAGACACCUGCACCUUGGUAUAGGUGUUCGGAGGCCUGACCCAGGCCUUGGCCUCCUCGUGCAGUGCCUCGAGAGGCAUCACCAGAACCUCCAGCGAUUACGCGAGGAUUACCGCACCACCGGAUAAAAUAAAGCCACGGACCUUGUCUUUGUCAACAGAUUCUCUACAAUGACUGAUCCACAAGAUAGCCCAGUACCCAGUCAAUACAGGUGCUGAAAAAUGACGCGGCAAGGACACAGCCCUGCCUCACUCCCCCGUUCACGGGAAAAAAGGAAGAGGUCGUUCAUCUAAGCCUCAGCUCAAGUGUUCCAGAGUAAUUAUUUACAUCCAGUUCCAAAAACAGUUCACAUAAUCUAAACUCCCGUCCAGCAAGAUAUGCCGAUAGUUCAUUGCUACCUCGGCCUAGUUACAUAGAGCAGAUUUUUCUUCUUGUUUUCUAACACAAGCACCAUUUCUAAAGGUGUGUACAAAAUGACACAGUAGCUCCCAUUAUAAAGUGCGUACAAACUG